CUGCUCUCCUCUGGGCUGGAUCCAAUUACUCCACAUCUCUUCUCAUUUUCCAUCACCUCAACACCAUGACAUAGCCGACUUGCAUUCAGCUUUUGAUCCUUUUUCUGAAGAAGUGCUAGUUAACCCGCCACUCCCUCACCGGGCUUUGUGGAGCUCGUAUUGCUGCUGAAGUAAAAUGGCCAACACCGGGCCGGGGACGAAGCCGGGCGGCCGCACACCGAGCCCCGCCCGCUCCUGAGGCAGCUCCUGAGGCAGCUCCACCGGCGCCAUCCCGGCGGCCAGGCCCAGCCCCGCCGCAGGCCGUGGCUGCCCCCUGCCGGGCCCGGGGCGACUAUAUUCAGUUCAUGGUUCGCUACUGGGAUAGCACUGAAGAGCGCAGCUGUGCUUUGAGGGACUGCGUGAGGGGACCUAAGGCCAGAGGCUGGGCACAAAAUGCUCCCUGCAGCUGUGUGAGGAUACCACGAGGCCCCACAUCCCACAGGUAAGUUCCACCAGUACCAGUAAGGCAAACAACUGGGAUCAGUUAACUGGGAGCAGGGAAAGCUCUGGUCUGUAUAGUGAGAGGAACCAGCAAAAGGCUAGAAGACAGAUCAAAUCCUGCUGUGUCUUCACAGAGGGAAUGCUUUCCUCCAACCCUGAUAAAUCACCUACAUCAGCACAAUACAGACACCUUUUUCCCCAUACUACUGCACCUAGGCCCUGAGAGGCUCUUUGGGCUUGCAGAUUACUCAAGACCGGCUGAUCUCAGCUCAUUUCUUG
rnacentral:lncRNA from 1 species